GCGUCGGUGGUGCAACGGUUAGCAUAACGCUCCCGGAUAGAGUGGAGAUCUGGGUUCGAAUCCCGAAUGACGCU